AGAUAUUAAAAGCAAGAGACAUGGGAGAGCAUCAUUCCUUUGAGAUUUUAUAAAUCAAACCAACUUUGGAGUUGUCUGAUUUGGAGAGUCAUUAUUCUUGGUCUUCGCUCUUAGAGGCCACUGAUGAAGAACAGGCGGUGACUGGGAUGAAUCCUGGUCAGAGAGGAGAAUCUUCUUUCCCCUAAACAGCGGUGGUUUUAAAGGAGGACGCUGCCCUGGAUGAUGUAGAAGAUGUCACAUGCUGUGCUGAUGGGGUUUCUUCAUGAUUACAUCAGUUAUGCUAAAGAGAUCAUGAAAAUUGACCGUGAUGCAUGAUCUGUAUUCAUGGACUAUGAAACAAACUGUAAGUGUAUAAUUUGUUAAAAAAAAAAAAAAGUUAAAUGCUUUUUCUGUGUGUUUAGUAGAAGAGUUUACACUCGGUCAUUCAUACACCUGCUCACAUUCUUUCACACACACACACACACACAUGCGUCUGUUAAAUGUUAUAAUAUCAAAGUUAAUGUUGUGAUUUAUUUGUGUACUGUCAUGCCAGAAUAGUUUGAAAGAACCUAACUAAUUGUAAAUUUAUUGUAUGUGUUUUCGUAUAUUUUUAUACAAUAUAUACAAUUGAACAAAGUCCAAUUUGAUCCUGAGUUAUAUUUAUCAAAUGUUCAAUGCUUU